UACGAAGGGUGCAAGCGUUAUCCGGAUUCAUUGGGUUUAAAGGGUGCGUAGGCGGCCCUGUAAGUCAGUGGUGAAAUACUCCAGCUUAACUGGAGGGGUGCCAUUGAUACUGCAGGGCUUGAGUGGAGUCGAAGUAGGCGGAAUUGACGGUGUAGCGGUGAAAUGCUUAGAUAUCGUCAAGAACACCGAUAGUGAAGACAGCUUACUAGGCUUCUACUGACGCUGAGGCACGAAAGUGUGGGGAUCAAACAGG
rnacentral:rRNA from 1 species